UUGUACCAGCUGGGACGCACCAACCCUUUGUUUUCCGACUCUGUUGCCUCCGGGGCGACCCUGCCUUCGGGCGGGGGCUCCGGGUGGACACUUCAAACUCUUGCGUAACUUUGCAGUCUGAGUAAACUUAAUUAAUAAAUUAAAACUUUUAACAACGGAUCUCUUGGUUCUGGCAUCGAUGAAGAACGCAGCGAAAUGCGAUAAGUAAUGUGAAUUGCAGAAUUCAGUGAAUCAUCGAAUCUUUGAACGCACAUUGCGCCCCCUGGUAUUCCGGGGGGCAUGCCUGUUCGAGCGUCAUUUCACCACUCAAGCCUCGCUUGGUAUUGGGCAACGCGGUCCGCCGCGUGCCUCAAAUCGUCCGGCUGGGUCUUCUGUCCCCUAAGCGUUGUGGAAACUAUUCGCUAAAGGGUGUUCGGGAGGCUACGCCGUAAAACAACCCCAUUUCUAAGGUUGACCUCGGAUCAGGUAGGGAUACCCGCUGAACUUAAGCAUAUCAAUAAGCGGAGGAAGGUCGUGACGCGGGGGCGGACACACUUGUUGUUCCGAACUUAUUUCCCCGGGGUA
rnacentral:rRNA from 1 species